rnacentral:rRNA from 1 species
GGGUUGUGAGGUUAAGCGACUAAGCGUACACGGUGGAUGCCCUGGCAGUCAGAGGCGAUGAAGGACGUGCUAAUCUGCGAUAAGCGUCGGUAAGGUGAUAUGAACCGUUAUAACCGGCGAUUUCCGAAUGGGGAAACCCAGUGUGUUUCGACACACUAUCAUUAACUGAAUCCAUAGGUUAAUGAGGCGAACCGGGGGAACUGAAACAUCUAAGUACCCCGAGGAAAAGAAAUCAACCGAGAUUCCCCCAGUAGCGGCGAGCGAACGGGGAGCAGCCCAGAGCCUGAAUCAGUGUGUGUGUUAGUGGAAGCGUCUGGAAAGGCGCGCGAUACAGGGUGACAGCCCCGUACACAAAAAUGCACAUGCUGUGAGCUCGAUGAGUAGGGCGGGACACGUGGUAUCCUGUCUGAAUAUGGGGGGACCAUCCUCCAAGGCUAAAUACUCCUGACUGACCGAUAGUGAACCAGUACCGUGAGGGAAAGGCGAAAAGAACCCCGGCGAGGGGAGUGAAAAAGAACCUGAAACCGUGUACGUACAAGCAGUGGGAGCACGCUUAGGCGUGUGACUGCGUACCUUUUGUAUAAUGGGUCAGCGACUUAUAUUCUGUAGCAAGGUUAACCGAAUAGGGGAGCCGAAGGGAAACCGAGUCUUAACUGGGCGUUAAGUUGCAGGGUAUAGACCCGAAACCCGGUGAUCUAGCCAUGGGCAGGUUGAAGGUUGGGUAACACUAACUGGAGGACCGAACCGACUAAUGUUGAAAAAUUAGCGGAUGACUUGUGGCUGGGGGUGAAAGGCCAAUCAAACCGGGAGAUAGCUGGUUCUCCCCGAAAGCUAUUUAGGUAGCGCCUCGUGAAUUCAUCUCCGGGGGUAGAGCACUGUUUCGGCAAGGGGGUCAUCCCGACUUACCAACCCGAUGCAAACUGCGAAUACCGGAGAAUGUUAUCACGGGAGACACACGGCGGGUGCUAACGUCCGUCGUGAAGAGGGAAACAACCCAGACCGCCAGCUAAGGUCCCAAAGUCAUGGUUAAGUGGGAAACGAUGUGGGAAGGCCCAGACAGCCAGGAUGUUGGCUUAGAAGCAGCCAUCAUUUAAAGAAAGCGUAAUAGCUCACUGGUCGAGUCGGCCUGCGCGGAAGAUGUAACGGGGCUAAACCAUGCACCGAAGCUGCGGCAGCGACGCUUAUGCGUUGUUGGGUAGGGGAGCGUUCUGUAAGCCUGCGAAGGUGUGCUGUGAGGCAUGCUGGAGGUAUCAGAAGUGCGAAUGCUGACAUAAGUAACGAUAAAGCGGGUGAAAAGCCCGCUCGCCGGAAGACCAAGGGUUCCUGUCCAACGUUAAUCGGGGCAGGGUGAGUCGACCCCUAAGGCGAGGCCGAAAGGCGUAGUCGAUGGGAAACAGGUUAAUAUUCCUGUACUUGGUGUUACUGCGAAGGGGGGACGGAGAAGGCUAUGUUGGCCGGGCGACGGUUGUCCCGGUUUAAGCGUGUAGGCUGGUUUUCCAGGCAAAUCCGGAAAAUCAAGGCUGAGGCGUGAUGACGAGGCACUACGGUGCUGAAGCAACAAAUGCCCUGCUUCCAGGAAAAGCCUCUAAGCAUCAGGUAACAUCAAAUCGUACCCCAAACCGACACAGGUGGUCAGGUAGAGAAUACCAAGGCGCUUGAGAGAACUCGGGUGAAGGAACUAGGCAAAAUGGUGCCGUAACUUCGGGAGAAGGCACGCUGAUAUGUAGGUGAAGUCCCUCGCGGAUGGAGCUGAAAUCAGUCGAAGAUACCAGCUGGCUGCAACUGUUUAUUAAAAACACAGCACUGUGCAAACACGAAAGUGGACGUAUACGGUGUGACGCCUGCCCGGUGCCGGAAGGUUAAUUGAUGGGGUCAGCGCAAGCGAAGCUCUUGAUCGAAGCCCCGGUAAACGGCGGCCGUAACUAUAACGGUCCUAAGGUAGCGAAAUUCCUUGUCGGGUAAGUUCCGACCUGCACGAAUGGCGUAAUGAUGGCCAGGCUGUCUCCACCCGAGACUCAGUGAAAUUGAACUCGCUGUGAAGAUGCAGUGUACCCGCGGCAAGACGGAAAGACCCCGUGAACCUUUACUAUAGCUUGACACUGAACAUUGAGCCUUGAUGUGUAGGAUAGGUGGGAGGCUUUGAAGUGUGGACGCCAGUCUGCAUGGAGCCGACCUUGAAAUACCACCCUUUAAUGUUUGAUGUUCUAACGUUGACCCGUGAUCCGGGUUGCGGACAGUGUCUGGUGGGUAGUUUGACUGGGGCGGUCUCCUCCUAAAGAGUAACGGAGGAGCACGAAGGUUGGCUAAUCCUGGUCGGACAUCAGGAGGUUAGUGCAAUGGCAUAAGCCAGCUUGACUGCGAGCGUGACGGCGCGAGCAGGUGCGAAAGCAGGUCAUAGUGAUCCGGUGGUUCUGAAUGGAAGGGCCAUCGCUCAACGGAUAAAAGGUACUCCGGGGAUAACAGGCUGAUACCGCCCAAGAGUUCAUAUCGACGGCGGUGUUUGGCACCUCGAUGUCGGCUCAUCACAUCCUGGGGCUGAAGUAGGUCCCAAGGGUAUGGCUGUUCGCCAUUUAAAGUGGUACGCGAGCUGGGUUUAGAACGUCGUGAGACAGUUCGGUCCCUAUCUGCCGUGGGCGCUGGAGAACUGAGGGGGGCUGCUCCUAGUACGAGAGGACCGGAGUGGACGCAUCACUGGUGUUCGGGUUGUCAUGCCAAUGGCACUGCCCGGUAGCUAAAUGCGGAAGAGAUAAGUGCUGAAAGCAUCUAAGCACGAAACUUGCCCCGAGAUGAGUUCUCCCUGACCCUUUAAGGGUCCUGAAGGAACGUUGAAGACGACGACGUUGAUAGGCCGGGUGUGUAAGCGCAGCGAUGCGUUGAGCUAACCGGUACUAAUGAACCGUGAGGCUUAACCUUACAACGCCGAAGGUGUUU